rnacentral:lncRNA from 1 species
UCAAGAUCGGCUAGAGAUUUGGGAGUUACACAACAUGCAACAGACUGUUGGUAUUUCUUGAUCAAAUUCCAUUCCUUUUCCAUAUACUAGAGAUAUAGGGGGCUUACUCAACAUGCAACAAGGAUGGGACAAAUUGAUUUCACUUCUAUUAUUUUUGGCUAUGAUCGGGAUUUCCAUUCUUUAUGUAUUUACUAUUGCUGCUAUAUCGUUAGUUGGAGCUGAUGUGAUCCUAUAUGUCAUUGUGAUGGUCAGGAGAGACAUAUAUACCCUAUAUAACUACUUCCUCCUGCUACUAAGGAGUGUACUACUUCUGCUAUUGCGAUAUUUUGCAUAAAAUAAGAAAGAAAAU